GGUUGAGCGGAGUGGAGGAUGCGUGAGAGGCGAGGCGUGCUCACACGCCCUUCUCGGCCGCGGGGUGAGACCAUGCGUCAAGAUGGUUCGAGCCUCCCGGACCGGACGCCGAUGCAGAUGGAGGCGAAGCAUCAGCGGACUCUUCGGCGACGAAGGCGAGUAAAACUGAUCCCCAUGAUUCAAGAAGGUAAUCAAUCGUCAGUUGCAGGGGCAUUCAUCAUCGAUGACGAUGUGCGCCACUCACGGGCCACGGCGGCUACUAAGUGGAGGUGCUACUCAUCUUCUUUGUGGUCGAUCCAUUCAGGCUCUUGGGUGUAUAGAAAAUGCAACCGAAUUCAUUACGUGUGCCUGCAGAUGGUGUUCAUUCUUGAAAAUUGGUUUAUUCUGAUUUGGUCAUUUUAUUUAAUUGACAAUCUGAUGGCUCCGGGAAAGGUGAUAAUUUCGCUUUGACUACCAUACUUCAUGUUUCCAUGUUUUAGCAUUUAUCUGUUGCUUAGAUAUAUUAUAUGUCUUCAUACCAUGGAACUGUUUAUUGCGCCACAAUUAUUUACAAAAGAACAGGAAAAUGUGCAACAGAAAAAUGUAGCCACCCAUCGAGUGUUAGUGUUGUCAAAAGGUACCAUUCUCCUUUUAUCCCGGUGCGCCUUUUUGCCAUUGCUUUGUUCCCCGCAUUCCCCAUUUUAUGUAAAUUGCAACACGGAUUGACAAUAAUGCUCCUUUCAAGCAUGGUUAUUCCAGCAGCGAGUUUUUUUUUUGCGAUUAUUCUAGCAGCAAGCUUGGAUGGUGUUUAAACUUAGGAGCCUUAUAAAUGUAACAUCUGAACCUCUUCUUAAUCAAACCAUGCCCUUCUCAUAUUUAAAAACUUUUAUUAUGAGCUAAAUAAUGUAACAUGGCUUCUACAUGAAUUUUCGUGAUGGAGCGAUCUCAGGAAGAAUACGAGAUUGGUAAUUCUCACUUCUGACAGGGAAUAUAAACCUCAGUUCUUACCUUGCUGUGAAACUGAGAUACUUAGUUAAGAAUUACUGGUGACCUUCGGAUGGGAGACGAGUUUUUGUGCUUGUCACUGUUCAAUUUAAUUUCUAAUUAAAAUGUACCUGUGACGGAUUUGUCGAAGCAGGUUUCUUGGACGUCUACAUUAGAAAGUACACAAUGAGAAUUUUUCAAGUCUUGGAUUCAGUCAUUUCUAAGUUUGUUUUGGCCAACUUGAAUGUUUCUUGGCAUAGAUAUGCUUAUAUAUUAGAACAUGCUAACGGGGGGUGUUUACUGUUUACUUUAUACAUUUUACUUUUACUUUACUAAAUGGCCUUACGAAAUUCCCCCAGAAAUUUUAUUGAUGCGAACACCUAUUUUUCUACGGCAGCAACCAAACAUAUUAGUCAAUUAUGAAAAUAAGAAACAUUGUGUUGUUUUGAGAAGGAAUCUUUUAUCUUCCUAAUCAAUUUUUGGUGUUCCCCAUUUUGCUACAGAUUUGUUUCAAGUCACUAUUGCAGAAUAAUGGAGAGGGAGUAGGCUUUGGAAGCUCAUGUAUUUGGUUUGGCUUAAAAAAUUUGGCGUCUGAGAAGUUUAGAAGCUGCUAGGUUAUAUCCAACACAAGAUUUGACUCUCCUGUGGAUGGCAGCAAUGCAACCCACUCUAUAUCGAG